rnacentral:rRNA from 1 species
UACGAAGGGGGCUAGCGUUGCUCGGAAUCACUGGGCGUAAAGGGUGCGUAGGCGGGUUUUUAAGUCAGAGGUGAAAUCCUGGAGCUCAACUCCAGAACUGCCUUUGAUACUGAAAGUCUUGAGUAUGGGAGAGGUGAGUGGAACUGCGAGUGUAGAGGUGAAAUUCGUAGAUAUUCGCAAGAACACCAGUGGCGAAGGCGGCUCACUGGCCCAUUACUGACGCUGAGCACGAAAGCGUGGGGAGCAAACAGG